UAACUCCGUGCCAGCCAGUGAAAUCCCCGGGCUCAACCUGGGAACUGCAUUCGAAACUGGCAGGCUAGGAGUCUUGUAGAGGGGGGUAGCAAUUCCAGGUGUAGCGGUGAAAUGCGUAGAGAUCUGGAGGAAUACCGGUGGGCGAAGGCGGCCCCCUGGACAACAGACUGACGCUCAGGUGCGAAAGCGUGGGGAGCAAACAGGAUUAGAUAGCCCUGGUAGUCCACGCCGUAAACGCAUGUCGAUUUGGAGGUUGUGCCCUUGAGGCGUGGCUUCCGGAGCUAGACGCGUUAAAUCGACCGCCUGGGGAGCUACGGCCGCAAGGUUAAAACUCAAAUGAAUUGACGGGGGCCCGCGACAAGCGGUGGAGCAUGUGGUUUAAUUCCGAUGCAACGCGAAGAACCUUACCUGGUCUUGACAUCCACAGAGACUUUCCAGAGAUGGAUUGGUGCCUUCGGGCAACUGUGAGACAGGUGCUGCAUGGCUGUCGUCAGCUCGUGGUUGUGAAAUGUUGGGUUAAGUCCCGCAACGAGCCGCAACCCUUAUCCUUUGUUGCCAGCGGUCCGGCCGGGGAACUCAAAGGAGACUGCCAAUGAUAAACUGGAGGCAAGGUGGGGAUGACGUCAAGUCAUCAUGGCCCUUACGGACCAGGGCUACACACGUGCUACAAUGGCAUAUACACAAGAGAAGCGACCUCGCGAGAGCAAGCGGACCUCGAUAAAGUAUGUCGUAGUCCGGAUUGGAGUCUGCAACUCCGACUCCAUGAAGUCGGAAUCGCUAGUAAUCGUGAGAUCAGAAUGCUACGGUGAAUACGUUCCCGGGCCUUGUACCACACCGCCCGUCACACCAUGGGA
rnacentral:rRNA from 1 species